UUCCGUCCUGAAUCUCCAGUUCCCAGCAUUAUACUUUGCGCAACCCUUUUACCCUUGUCUUUUGUUAGCCAAUAUGCUGACUGUUAUUCUGAGUGUGACCCUUUUUGUUCUCACUACUCUUCAAGAUGUCAGUGCUGAAGACGACUCUGUGAUAGAUCUGACCGAUAUACAGGAGAUAAACACAGCAGUGGAGGAGGUAGAGGAGUUGAAAGAGCGACAGUCUAUGUGUCCGAGAGGGAGGGAGGGCAGACACUGCAGACGGAGAAUGCAGGGACUUGUGGAGAUAGAGGAGCGACAACAAAUGUGUCCUCCGGGCAGAAGAGGGAAAAUUUGCAGAAAUAGGAUUUCCGGAGAAGUUUAAGUGAUGAAGAAAACGAAACUUAGAGGAGUAAUCGGAAUCCUAAAAAGAGCUGGACACUGGAAAUUAAUAAUAAACAAUUUUAAUAUGCUGCGGGGGAUUAAAUGUACUUUGCUUAAAAGGCAUUUGUGUUGCUUAUUCAUUAUUGUGCAUUGGAACAUUUGUUGAAAUUGAAUUGAAAAGCUAAGUAAAGCAAAACAUUUUUGAAAAACUCGAUUAAAUCUCUGAAUGUUUAA